rnacentral:rRNA from 1 species
AGAGUUUGAUCAUGGCUCAGAUUGAACGCUGGCGGCAUGCCUUACACAUGCAAGUCGAACGGCAGCACGGGAGCAAUCCUGGUGGCGAGUGGCGAACGGGUGAGUAAUACAUCGGAACGUGUCCUGGAGUGGGGGAUAGCCCGGCGAAAGCCGGAUUAAUACCGCAUACGAUCUCUGGAUGAAAGCGGGGGACCGAAAGGCCUCGCGCUCAAGGGGCGGCCGAUGGCAGAUUAGCUAGUUGGUGGGGUAAAGGCCUACCAAGGCGACGAUCUGUAGCUGGUCUGAGAGGACGACCAGCCACACUGGGACUGAGACACGGCCCAGACUCCUACGGGAGGCAGCAGUGGGGAAUUUUGGACAAUGGGGGCAACCCUGAUCCAGCAAUGCCGCGUGUGUGAAGAAGGCCUUCGGGUUGUAAAGCACUUUUGUCCGGAAAGAAAACCGCUUCUCUAAUACAGAGGUGGGAUGACGGUACCGGAAGAAUAAGCACCGGCUAACUACGUGCCAGCAGCCGCGGUAAUACGUAGGGUGCGAGCGUUAAUCGGAAUUACUGGGCGUAAAGCGUGCGCAGGCGGUUCGCUAAGACCGAUGUGAAAUCCCCGGGCUUAACCUGGGAACUGCAUUGGUGACUGGCGGGCUAGAGUAUGGCAGAGGGGGGUAGAAUUCCACGUAGCAGUGAAAUGCGUAGAGAUGUGGAGGAAUACCGAUGGCGAAGGCAGCCCCCUGGGCCAAUACUGACGCUCAUGCACGAAAGCGUGGGGAGCAAACAGGAUUAGAUACCCUAGUAGUCC